AUUCUGAUGUUCAUACUCAUGGUUAUCUUCUUGCACAUUCAUACUCAUUAGAUAAUCGUAGCAUGUUCAUCCUAUCCGCUAAUCAUUCAAACAAAAGACCCAUUUCCACGACACCCUUUCAACAGUUUCAUUUUGUUCCCUUAAAUUGACACACCCCAAUUUGUCCCUUUAUUAUUUACAAAAAUAAGUGUUCGAUCCUAAUUUCUCUUGUAAACAGUUAUCAGUAGCCACAUCAUCAACAGUAUGUCAUUGUCUCNNN
rnacentral:lncRNA from 1 species